ACAGCACAUGCCUUUUUCUGUGUGCAACUUUUUCAAAUCAGUCGCAUGCAUCAUGUAGCCCAGCCCAUGUUUUGCAUCACAAAAUGGUGUAGCCCAGCUGAACGGUGUUUCCUCAGACACAGUGGUGCAGCUGGUUUCCGGGUUAAGGGAGCAGUGUGUCAUGAAGAAAUGCGGCUUGGCAGGGUGGUUUUUCGGAGGACGCAUGGCUCUCGACUGUCGCAGCGAUGGGACAAGACUAACUACCACUUGGAUAUCACAAAAUUGGGGAGGAAAAACGGGUAAAAAGUACAAAACGAUAAUAAAAAAAGGAAUGGCUUGGAGAUCGGUUGGUGACCACUGGUGUAAAGACCUGAGCCCUAGGACCAUGCCCCAGGACUACCUGACAUGAUGACUCCUUGCUGUCCCCAGUCCACCUGGCCAUGCUGCUGUUCCAGUUUCAACUGACCUGAGCCCUAGGACCAUGCCCCAGGACUACCUGACAUGAUGACUCCUUGCUGUCCCCAGUCCACCUGGCCAUGCUGCUGCUCCAGUUUCAACUUCCACCUGACUGUGCUGCUGCUCCAUUUUCAACUGUUCUGCCUUAUUAUUAUUCGACCAUGCUGGUCAUUUAUGAACAUUUGAACAUCUUGGCCAUGUUCUGUUAUAAUCUCCACCCGGCACAGCCAGAAGAGGACUGGCCACCCCACAUAGCCUGGUUCCUCUCUAGGUUUCUUCCUAGGUUUUGGCCUUUCUAGGGAGUUUUUCCUAGCCACCGUGCUUCUACACCUGCAUUGCUUGCUGUUUGGGGUUUUAGGCUGGGUUUCUGUACAGCACUUUGAGAUAUCAGCUGAUGUACGAAGGACUAUAUAAAUACAUUUGAUUUGAUUUCUGCACAUCCUACCAUUCCAGUGUUUAAUUGCUAUAUUGUAAUUACUUUGCCACCAUGGCCUAUUUAUUGCCUUACCUCUCUUAUCCUACCUCAUUUGCACAUGCUGUAUAUAGAUUUUUCUACUGUAUUAUUGAUUGUAUGUUUCUUCAAUAAGUGACUGUUGUAUGUGUCUCACUGCUUUGCUUUAUCUUGGCCAGGUCGCAGUUGCAAAUGAGAACUUGUUCUCAACUAGCCUACCUGGUUAAAUAAAGGUGAAAUAUAUAUAUUUUUAAAUUAAAUUUAAAAAAUGCUUUCCUUAA